GAGAGAGAGAGAGAGAGAGAGAGAGAGAGAGAGAGAGAGAGAGAGAGAGAGAGAGUAUUCGGUAGAGUUUACAGCGUCGUAAUUUAUCGACGUCGAGGCUUCGAUCUGCUGCCUGUUGAUCGUGGGAGCCCAGUGUCCUUAACGGGUACAGGGGCCGCCUCCUGGUGUAACUAUCAGCCGUGGGGCCAAGAAACGAGAGACGAUGCCUUCGAUACUUCGACGAUAUAAUCCGCUCUCGUUUUCCUUCGAUCCAUCUUCGACGAAUCGGUGAAACGACUGGAACAGCCUUCUACCUCGUCGUCAAGUUCGCAAGAAUUAGAUCGGUGGCCGCUCGUAAAAUCUGAUACAUUGUGCGACCAGCCGUGGCGUAUUCGUCAUGUCGAGACACACCGAGGACACGCGAUCGACGAAACGAAAGGAUUGACCCCGUGGAACGUCCGUGACCAACCAUCUUCUUUUUCUCUGCCAGGCACCUACGACUCCAGCGUUCCACGAAGUAUCGAUUUAUGGGGUGAGUCGUAUGAAUACUUCCUUCCGUGGAUUUUUAUGCCGUGCAUGAUGCAUGUAAUUCAGCGUUUUACUGCUCACAGCGAGAUAUCCUUGAUUACAUUGUGUCUGACUUGCUUUCGGAUAUCGCGAUGUUAUGUAGCUUUGUGCACCAUCUUAAUUUACGAGGAAAUUCGAAAUCCUUUUCGAGCUGAUGAAAUUAACGACGGGGUCCAUUUCGAAGAUCGAAAAUUUAGCA